GUUAAAGACAAAUCAUGGCUUAAGAGGAGAAUUGCCAUGGGAUUGACCAACUCAUGUGACAUUCCAGCCUCAUCUUUUAUAAUUAAGGAAGGCAAGUUUGUUGAAGAAAGUUCUCAAAAGGUGGAGGGCAUGUCCAAUGUUCAAACGACCGAUGCUUUGAAAAUUGAAUGCAGAGGUUCACCAACAACUUACAGUUUGGAAGACAAGGACCGCCAUCACUUUGAGGAUAUGGAACUUGAUCAUGGAAGUGAAGGUCAGCAUGAUGAGAGAGCCGCUGUUAAAAGAAUUCGGAAGCCUACCAGGCGG
rnacentral:misc_RNA from 1 species